GUGACCAUAAUAUGACUGAAUUCCUUCAGUGGGAUGGAAAAUGAAACAGUCCAAUCCAAAACUGGAUCCCAAAUCCAAAUAAAGGAGGCUACAAUGAUAUGAGGAACCAUGACAGACUGGUAAUGGUGACUGCCUCUGUGGAAUAAUUGUGACAAAAGUCUGAUAGAAAACAACUUGAAUAAAGACAAAUCGUGAAGAUCAGAAGGAAUAAUAAAUAAACUGAUGAUUACCAGGACUGCUCAAGCAAAUUACUGUCAGGCAUUUACAGUGCAAUGCCUAAUAAAAUACUGGUAAACUGGAAUGGAAAUUGCAUAUUGAAAGUGAAUUGUCUUCUCCAGAAAUUACUUCUGUGAAAAUCAGUACCACUUCCCAAAGCUUUUCCUUUUCUUAAAAUGAAUAGUUCCAAUGGGCUGAUUGCAGGCAGUGUAAGACAAACUUUCCCGUGAACUGGAUGAGGAAGAAGGAUGUAUAUCUUCCACCACCCUGUGGCUGUUCUGAAUUAUUGCAUAUAGCACAUCUCAUUAAACUUGACCUGAUGUAGAAUUGCUUGUGAAGAAAAACAGUCUUGGCUUCUGCAAAUAUCAGCUAAAUCAUCCUCAUUUUAUCACUUCUGAUUGACUUAUUCAUUACAAACUUCU